UUUUACUUUUUAAAAAAUUUUGUACCUAAGUAUUAUGAAUAAUAAUUGUUAAUAUAUACAUAUAUGUAGUAUUUAAAACUUAAAAGAUUUGGCGGUUCUUCAUAUCCAAUUAGGGGAGUUUGUUAAUUAAUUUGAUAAUCCACAUUUUAAACUUACUUUUUUUUGAAAAUUACGAUAACAGUUUGUAUAUUGCUGUCGUUAGUUUAUGUUUUAAGAAUUAGUUAAAAAACUAAGAAAUGUUUUAAUUAUUAUGUCAAGUCAUAAUGCAGCUUAUAAAAAAGAUUUAAUGAGCUACUAUAAUUAAUAUUAUUGAUUGUCCGGAUUUUAAAUAUUAUAGUUGAUUAGUAAGGUGGACUUAAUAGUAAAUUUAUAAUUAGUAUGUGAAAUUGAAUUAAUGGUUUUGUAGAGUG
rnacentral:rRNA from 1 species